UACGGAGGAUGCGAGCGUUAUCCGGAUUUAUUGGGUUUAGGGUGCGUAGGCGGGCUGUUAAGUCAGCGGUCAAAUGUCGGGGCUCAACCCCGGCCUGCCGUUGAAACUGGCGGCCUCGAGUGGGCGAGAAGUAUGCGGAAUGCGUGGUGUAGCGGUGAAAUGCAUAGAUAUCACGCAGAACUCCGAUUGCGAAGGCAGCAUACCGGCGCCCGACUGACGCUGAGGCACGAAAGCGUGGGUAUCGAACAGG
rnacentral:rRNA from 1 species